rfam:Gossypium hirsutum cultivar TM-1 chromosome 19, whole genome shotgun sequence
UAUUAAAAAUUUCAUCUAUUUCUAUUGUUAAAAAUUGAUGUAGCUGAUUGAAUAACUAGACAGUUUACACAUGACAUGUCAUGUGUACCUCGUGCUGAGGUACAAGGACCAGUUUUUAACAGUUAAAAUGGAUGAAAUUUUUAAUA